CGGCAACUCGAGUAGUUUGCACACACAGACUGCUUCUGGCUGCAGCGUUAGGAGGCUGUCUCAUUUUUUGUUUGGGAUUGGCUACAUUCUGUGGUAAAGCCUUGAUUUUUGAUGCAUAGCCUCGGUGUAUGAACGGUUCGGGGACGGAGGUGAAAAAAGUUAGUCUGGAGCCCUGAAGGGAAGGCAGCUGAUAUUACUGAAGCGACAAUAAAUCUGUUUCUAUGAUGACAACUGCUUACCUUUAGAGAUUCCAGCUGCACCACCUGACAUUUCUGAAGAAGUUCCACAAAGAGGUAGAUGAGCAAGGCCUGCAUUACAGAGGAUGGAAAAUAAACCAGUCAGCUCAGCGGAAACAUCGUGCCAUGAAGCUUUGCUGUUGGUGGACAGCAACUGUGCCGCCCGGCUCCGAAUGCUUUAGCAGCUUUGUUCCCGGGAUGUUAUCUUGGCUUUUGUUUGCAUGACGUCAGAGCAAGUCGGGAUCAUUUGGACAUAAACCUAACCAGCAUGCAUUGUGCAUCAAUCGGCGGUGAUCCUAUGUAAAUAAAAAGGCUGGU